rnacentral:tRNA from 1 species
ACUUGAAUAGUUUAUAUAAAAUAUAGGUUUGUGGAUUCUAAGAAAUUUUUUAAUUUCAAGUU